rfam:Cavia porcellus supercont2_40 genomic scaffold, whole genome shotgun sequence.
UGCUUCCCAACAUGGGACCCAAGAACAGGGGACUUAGUGAGUGAUGCUGUUUGUGGGCCCAAAGUAGAAAAAGGAAAAGAAAAUAGAGGACCAAUGUGGGAGCCUACCAUGCCGCUGAAUCUUGGUAAGUGAACAGUGAUUAUAGGACAAGAAAUUAGCCAGCAUGAGAUUUUAAAAGUUUAAGAAAGGCUUUAAAGGCAUGACGAGUAAAGGUAAAAAAAAAAAAAUUAAGCAAUUGUCGAUUAGGGCUAAACUUAACUC